UCCAAAGACUAAUAGCUGCAUCGCCGGAUGUUUUGGUCGAUGACAUGAGCUAUGUUGGAAAAGUUACUGCUAAAAGCUAUCCAGUGAAGGAGCUCCACCUUCCAUCAGGUUUUAUAGUAAAGCCUCCUCUACCACAGGUUAUCAAACACAGAAGCAGCAGCGACUCGGACAAGACUGACCAACAUAAAAUGGAAUGCUCAGCUGAGAACGUAGUUGGGAGGCUGCCAAACCAAGGUCAAGGUCAUCAUCAUCAACAACCUUCCAACUACAUGAUGCCUUUUGCGACCAACCAACCCUCUCCAAAUGGAUGUUACUAUCCUCCUCAGCCUCCUCCUUCGGGAGGAAACCAGCAAUGGUUGAUCCCUGUAAUGUCUCCUUCCGAAGGGCUGAUAUACAAGCCGCACCCAGGUCCAGAUCCGGGGCACACGGGGCCGGUCUGUGGAGGGUAUUAUGGUCAUUUCAUGCCUGCACCAAUGUUCAUGGGUGGUGGUGGUGGUCAGCCUCCUCCGUUUCACCCGGGCAUGGGAUUCCUAUCUCAUGGUAAUGGCUACUUUCCUCCAUAUGGUGGUAUCAUGAUGAACCCUUACUAUUCCGGACAACAACAACAACAACAACCCAAUGAGCAAAUGAACAACAACAUCCAACAACAGAGCUCAGUGAAUGAAGCGACUCAACAACAACAACAGCCAACGAAAUCUUAUCCUCGGGCUAAAAAGAGCAGGCAAGAGGGAAUCUCUGGUAAGAAGAAGUCCUUUCAACCAUUCUCAGCGGUUGAUGAUGUUCAUGAUGACAAGAUCAACAAUGCUGCACAACCUACUGAGGAAAUGAUGACGACAACCACAACCACAACAACAACUGUGAUAGUAAAGCCUCCUCUACCACAGGUUAUCAAACACAGAAGCAGCAGCGACUCGGACAAGACUGACCAACAUAAAAUGGAAUGCUCAGCUGAGAACGUAGUUGGGAGGCUGCCAAACCAAGGUCAAGGUCAUCAUCAUCAACAACCUUCCAACUACAUGAUGCCUUUUGCGACCAACCAACCCUCUCCAAAUGGAUGUUACUAUCCUCCUCAGCCUCCUCCUUCGGGAGGAAACCAGCAAUGGUUGAUCCCUGUAAUGUCUCCUUCCGAAGGGCUGAUAUACAAGCCGCACCCAGGUCCAGAUCCGGGGCACACGGGGCCGGUCUGUGGAGGGUAUUAUGGUCAUUUCAUGCCUGCACCAAUGUUCAUGGGUGGUGGUGGUGGUCAGCCUCCUCCGUUUCACCCGGGCAUGGGAUUCCUAUCUCAUGGUAAUGGCUACUUUCCUCCAUAUGGUGGUAUCAUGAUGAACCCUUACUAUUCCGGACAACAACAACAACAACAACCCAAUGAGCAAAUGAACAACAACAUCCAACAACAGAGCUCAGUGAAUGAAGCGACUUCACAACAACAACAGCCAACGAAAUCUUAUCCUCGGGCUAAAAAGAGCAGGCAAGAGGGAAUCUCUGGUAAGAAGAAGUCCUUUCAACCAUUCUCAGCGGUUGAUGAUGUUCAUGAUGACAAGAUCAACAAUGCUGCACAACCUACUGAGGAAAUGAUGACGACAACCACAACCACAACAACAACUGUGACUCAGACAACGAGAGAUGGAGCAGGAGUGACGAGAGUGAUCAAGGUGGUUCCGCACAAUGCCAAUCUGGCGAGUGAGAACGCUGCAAGAAUUUUCCGGUC
rnacentral:lncRNA from 1 species